rnacentral:rRNA from 1 species
GCCAGCAGCCAUAUCACCCUGCAACUCACAACUGGCAGCCCACUGAAGCUAAGCAGGUGUGAGCCUGGUCAGUACCAGGAGGGGAGACCUCCUGGGAAAGCUUUGAUGCUGCUGGAA